rnacentral:rRNA from 1 species
GAGCGGGCGUAGCAAUACGUCAGCGGCAGACGGGUGAGUAACGCGUGGGAACGUACCUUUUGGUUCGGAACAACCCAGGGAAACUUGGGCUAAUACCGGAUAAGCCCUUACGGGGAAAGAUUUAUCGCCGAAAGAUCGGCCCGCGUCUGAUUAGCUAGUUGGUGAGGUAAUGGCUCACCAAGGCGACGAUCAGUAGCUGGUCUGAGAGGAUGAUCAACCACAUUGGGACUGAGACACGGCCCAAACUCCUACGGGAGGCAGCAGUGGGGAAUAUUGGACAAUGGGCGCAAGCCUGAUCCAGCCAUGCCGCGUGAGUGAUGAAGGCCCUAGGGUUGUAAAGCUCUUUUGUGCGGGAAGAUAAUGACGGUACCGCAAGAAUAAGCCCCGGCUAACUUCGUGCCAGCAGCCGCGGUAAUACGAAGGGGGCUAGCGUUGCUCGGAAUCACUGGGCGUAAAGGGUGCGUAGGCGGGUCUUUAAGUCAGGGGUGAAAUCCUGGAGCUCAACUCCAGAACUGCCUUUGAUACUGAAGAUCUUGAGUCCGGGAGAGGUGAGUGGAACUGCGAGUGUAGAGGUGAAAUUCGUAGAUAUUCGCAAGAACACCAGUGGCGAAGGCGGCUCACUGGCCCGGUACUGACGCUGAGGCACGAAAGCGUGGGG